rnacentral:rRNA from 1 species
AGCGCAGGCGGUUUCUUAAGUCUGAUGUGAAAGCCUUCGGCUCAACCGAAGAAGUGCAUCGGAAACUGGGAAACUUGAGUGCAGAAGAGGACAGUGGAACUCCAUGUAUAGCGGUGAAAUGCGUAGAUAUAUGGAAGAACACCAGUGGCGAAGGCGGCUGUCUGGUCUGCAACUGACGCUGAGGCUCGAAAGCAUGGGUAGCAAACA